CAUUGGGAAAGGUGCCGAGACAUGAACUUUGGUCUUCUCUGCAAUCCAUCUGGAGCAUUCACUGACAACAUCGACUUUGAAGUUGCACUGACCUGGCCAGCCCUGCCACUUACCAGGUUGCUCUGUAUGGCUAAGCGUUUUCUCCUAAAAUCCCUUGAAAACUGUGAGAAGACCAUAAGAAGAUCAUAUCUUUAAUUCUAUUUCACAAGUCACACAAUAUUCCAAUCAAAUACAGAUGGUUGAGAAAAGUCAUCCAUCUUCCCUCCCCACCCUCCCACAGCCCCUCAACCACUGCCCUGAAACUUAUAUGCUGUUAUCCGCAGCUCCAUCUGGAGCAUCACAGCUACUGUCAACCCUGACGCUCUUUCUGAAAAAACACCGGAUGGACAUCAGAACUAUUUCUUUAAGGAUGUUACUGAGCCACACAGGAAAACUUGCCUUAUGAUUUUGAAUGCACGGAUCUGAUUUGACUAAACAUGAUAACUAGAGAAUCACCCAAUCUACUCCCAUUUUCAACUCUAAAUCAUCAGAGUGUCUCAAAUCCAAAGCACACACAGACCAGCCUGGCCAACACGGUGAAACUCCACCCCUACUAAAAGUAUAAAAAUUAUCCAGGUGUGGUGGCGGGCGCCUGUAAUCCAAGCUACUUGGGAGUCUGGAGGCAGGAGAAUCCCUUGAACCUGGGAGAUGGAGGUUGCAGUGAGCAGAGAUCACACCACCGCACUCUAGCCUGGGCCACAAAUCAACAACAACAACAACAACAAAAAACAAAGCGCACACAGAGACUGAGGUCCUCUUUGGCAUUGAGAAGAUGGCUAUGCAAGUCCCAACUAGCAAGUGCAAACUUCCCAGCUUCACUUCUGCCAGUGUCCCUUCACCCCUUCUCAACCCCACUGGGAGGCAGGAGGGUGCUUGACAAUAACAGCCUUGGCAUCACUCUGCCAGGGUGUAAUAGGAACUGUUACAAUUCUGAGAUUCUGUGUAAGCACUGGCCUUUCUGCCUAGAAUGCCUUCUCCUCUCUUUUUUAACUGCAUGCUCCUAUUUAUCUUUCAAAGCCCGGAAAAAAUAACACUGCACACGGGAAAUGCUCCCUUCCUACUGCAGUCAUUUAGAUGACUCUAUGCCAUUCCAUUCAUUUCUCUUUCCUACCACAGAAGUGCUUUGAGAUUUUGGAGUCAGACUGCUUGAACUUGAAUCCUGGCCCUCUCAUCAGAGACUUGACUUAUUUUAGGCAAGUUAUAUAACCAAUUUUACCUCAGUUCCUUACCCAUAAAAUGGGUCUAAUGAGAGUACCUACCACACAGAAUUUUGAUGAAAACUGAAUGAGAUGAAGGCCUUUAAGGCAGUGGUCCCCAACCCUGGGGACACAGACAGGUACCAUUUUGUGGCCUGUUAGGAACUGGGCCACACAGCAGGAGGUGAGCAGUGGGUGAGUGAGAUCAGCGUUAUUUACAGCUGCUCCCCAUUGCUCACCUUACUGCCUGAGCUCCACCUCCUGUCAGAUCAGCAGUGGCAUUAAAUUCUCAUAGCAGCACAAACCCUGUCAUGAACUGCACAUGCGAGGGAUCUAGGUUGUGCGCUCCUUAUGAGAAUCUAAUGCCUAAUGACCUGUCACCGUCUCCCAUCACCCCUAGAUGGGAGUGUCUAGUUG
rnacentral:sRNA from 1 species